rnacentral:rRNA from 1 species
UGGCUCAGAUUGAACGCUGGCGGCAGGCCUAACACAUGCAAGUCGAGCGGGGUUUUCGGACCUAGCGGCGGACGGGUGAGUAAUGCGUAGGAAGCUGCCCGAUAGAGGGGGAUACCAGUUGGAAACGACUGUUAAUACCGCAUAAUGUCUACGGACCAAAGUGUGGGACCUUCGGGCCACAUGCUAUCGGAUGCGCCUACGUGGGAUUAGCUAGUUGGUGAGGUAAUGGCUCACCAAGGCGACGAUCUCUAGCUGGUUUGAGAGGAUGAUCAGCCACACUGGAACUGAGACACGGUCCAGACUCCUACGGGAGGCAGCAGUGGGGAAUCUUGGACAAUGGGCGCAAGCCUGAUCCAGCCAUGCCGCGUGUGUGAAGAAGGCCUUCGGGUUGUAAAGCACUUUCGCCGAGAAGAAAUGCGGACCGAGAG